rnacentral:rRNA from 1 species
AGCGGCGGACGGGUGAGUAACGCGUGGGUAACCUACCUCAUACAGGGGGAUAACAGUUGGAAACGGCUGCUAAUACCGCAUAAGCGCACAGUACCGCAUGGUACCGUGUGAAAAACUCCGGUGGUAUGAGAUGGACUCGCGUCUGAUUAGCUAGUUGGUGGGGUAACGGCCUACCAAGGCGACGAUCAGUAGCCGGCCUGAGAGGGUGAACGGCCACAUUGGGACUGAGACACGGCCCAA